rnacentral:rRNA from 1 species
GCGCGUAAAUUGCCCGAAUCCUGACACAGGGAGGUAGUGACAAGAAAUAACAAUACAGGGCCUUUUUGGUCUUGUAAUUGGAAUGAGUACAAUUUACAUCUCUUCACGAGGAUCAAUUGGAGGGCAAGUCUGGUGCCAGCAGCCGCGGUAAUUCCAGCUCCAAUAGCGUAUAUUAAAGUUGUUGCAGUUAAAACGCUCGUAGUCGGAUUUCGGGGCGGGGCGGCCGGUCUGCCGAUGGGUACGCACUGGUCGCCGCGCUCUUCUUGCCGGAGGCGCGGCCUACUCUUCACUGAGCGGGCCGUGAACUCGGCACGUUUACUUUGAAAAAAUCAGAGUGUUUCAAGCAGGCAGCUCGCUCUUGCAUGGAUUAGCAUGGGAUAAUAAAAUAGGACUUUGGUGCUAUUUUGUUGGUUUCGAACACCAGAGUAAUGAUUAACAGGGACAGUCAGGGGCACUCGUAUUCC